GCUCUUUCCAGUGUUCUGCACAGGGCAAGCUUGCCAGGAUAACAUCUUCCUGUCUCUUUUCUCUCCCCCUCCGCCUUGCUCCCACAUUUUGAAGGGACUUGGAAUUUUUUUUCCCCCUCAGCCGGUCACAGUCUUUGGAAACUCCUCUAUCGUCCCUCUGGUUCUCUUUGGUCUCUUCCUGACUUUUCCCCGCACAUGGAGUGAGGCCUUGGCAGGCCGGGUCCAUCCGCCGAGCAUCACGAUGGAGCGGUUGCCAUGGGAACUGGCGUGGUGGCUUCAGGCCUUUUAUCUCCCGCAAAGGCAGGGCUUGAGCGCCAAUUGAAGCUCUCACAGGAGGGCAAACGUCCGGGCGACGUGCAGAGAGAGGCAGCAACACGCAGGCAUCCAUAAAGGCUGAAAGCAGAAUCUGGAAAUAACUUCUCGGAACCUCUGUAUGGAAGUCCGACAGCCUGCUUGACCUGCAUUAUCUAUAGAUCUUCUUAUGUAAUAAACAAUAUUCCAGGCUUGGAGAGAAUGUUGCACCUGCAGGCCAUAUAGAAGUUAAAAAUGAGAAAAAUGUGGGAAGAAAAGAGAUGGAAACUUUUAGUACAGCACCACAAAUAUGGCUGAAUAUAAAGGAAUUCAAGAGUCAAACAGA